GAUGUGCAGCAGCCGCCGCGGUAAUACGGAGGGGUGCAGCGUGUCGGAAUCACUGGGCGUAAAGCGCGUGCAGGCGGCCUGUUAAGUCAGAUGUGAAAUCCCUUGGCUCAACCAAGGAACUGCAUCUGAAACUAAUAGACUUGAGUACGGGAGAGGAGAGUGGAAUUCCCGGUGUAGAGGUGAAAUUCGUAGAUAUCGGGAGGAAGGCCUGUGGCGAAGGCGGCCCUCUGGCGCUCAACUGACGCUGAGGCGCGAAAGCGUGGGGAGCAAACAGGAUUAGAUACCCUGGUAGUCCACGCCCUAAACGGUGGGCACUAGGUGUGGGGUCUGAGAGGGCUCCGUGCCGUAGGGAAACCAUUAAGUGCCCCGCCUGGGGAGUACGGCCGCAAGGCUGAAACUCAAAGGAAUUGACGGGGGCCCGCACAAGCGGUGGAGCAUGUGGUUUAAUUCGACGCAACGCGAAGAACCUUACCUGGGCUUGACAUGCAGGUGGUAGGAACCCGAAAGGGGGACGAUCCCGACUUCGGUUAGGAAGCCUGCACAGGUGCUGCACGGCUGUCGUCAGCUCGUGCCGUGAGGUGUUGGGUUAAGUCCCGCAACGAGCGCAACCCUUAUCCCCUGUUGCCAGCGGUUUGGCCGGGCACUCUGGGGAAACUGCCAGCGAAGAGCUGGAGGAAGGUGGGGAUGACGUCAAGUCAUCAUGGCCUUUAUGUCCAGGGCUACACACGUGCUACAAUGGCCGCUACAGAGGGCAGCGACCUCGCGAGGGGGAGCAAAUCCCUAAAGGCGGUCGUAGUUGGGAUCGGAGUCUGCAACUCGACUCCGUGAACGUGGAAUCGCUAGUAAUCGCGGAUCAGCACGCCGCGGUGAAUACGUUCCCGGGCCUUGUACACACCGCCCGUCA
rnacentral:rRNA from 1 species